AGGCAUACGGCUCAGUAACGCGUAGUCAGCCUACCCUAUGGACAAGAAUAAUCUCGGGAAACUGAGCAUAAUUCUUGAUAGAUCAUAGUGCCUGGAAUGGUUUAUGGUUAAAAUGAUUCGUCGCCAUAGGAUGGGACUGCGGCCUAUCAGCUUGUUGGUGAGGUAAUGGCCCACCAAGGCGAUAACAGGUACGGGCUCCGAGAGGAGAAGCCCGGAGAUGGGUACUGAGACAAGGACCCAGGCCCUAUGGGGCGCAGCAGGCGAGAAAACUUUGCAAUGUGCGAAAGCACGACAAGGUUAAUCCGAGUGAUUUCUGCUAAAGAAAUCUUUUGCAAGUCAUAAAACCACUAGUGAAUAAGGGGUGGGCAAGUUCUGGUGUCAGCCGCCGCGGUAAAACCAGCACCUCAAGUGGUCAGGAUGAUUAUUGGGCCUGAAGCAUCCGUAGCCGGCUUUGUUAGUUUUCGGUUAAAUCCAUGUGCUCAACGCAUGGGCUGCCGAAAAUACUGCAGGGCUAGGGAGUGGGAGAGGUAGACGGUACUCAGUAGGAAGGGGUAAAAUCCUUUGAUCUAUUGAUGACCACCUGUGGCGAAGGCGGUCUACCAGAACACGUUCGACGGUGAGGGAUGAAAGCUGGGGGAGCAAACCGGAUUAGAUACCCGGGUAGUCCCAGCUGUAAACGAUGCAGACUCGAUGAUGCAUUG
rnacentral:rRNA from 1 species